AACAGUUCUCCACAGUCACUGUCCAUGUGGGUCAGUGGGACCAAGGAGUACUCUGACCAGCAACAUCCAGCAAGACCCAGACAACGUUUUCUAUCUCCCAGCUGGAGUUUUUUGUUUGUCUGUGACCGGAGAGUCAGAUUUUUGUCGAGGCUGGAGGAACAGCCUCACACUUGCAGAGGUUAAUACACGCUACUGAUCCCUGAUGGGAGAAUCAUCACCUCUGCCAACAAAGAAGCCUGGUGGAUGAUUGUUUACAGUCUGAUGAUGGGACAUCAUGCUCUGCAUCUUCAAAGAGUGUUUCUGAGUGAGGGAGAGAGGAGUCAUCAACCAGCUUCAAAGAAAACAUCCAGAUGGGCAGGAUAUCACUAUUGGACUGUCUAACCUGCCAGAGCAGCAUUGAGUGACCACCACACAUGAGCAUGUUCCUGCAACAUUCAGCAUCUGAUCCUUCAUCUGUGUGCUUCUGCUUUUGGUAAGUAGAGUUACCUAACUACAGUAAUUCUAAACAUAUGCCAUCCAUUUCUAACGGCCUGGUUACUUCCUGUCAGUUAUUUUAGGAACACUGUUUCUUCUUGUUCCCCUUAAUGUUGAAGUGUCAAAUGUCAAAAACGUUUCAUUGUGACAUCACCAAAGACAGCCCCGCCCACCUCAGGACCUCGCCGUGGUCAUGAUGAUUAUAAUGAUGACAGUAAGCGGAAAUAAGACUGUAAAAAUCCACGACCAGAAUGUUUAGAUGCUUUCUAAUUAUUAAUGAAUACUGAGAGCCUCUUUCUGUAUUUUGUCUGUUUUGUUUGGGUUUUUUGGGGGGGGGGGUUUACCUCAUUUGUUACUAACAAAGUUCACCAAACUCACACAGUUUACAUUCUGUAUGUGUUUUCAUCUUUACCAGCCACCCUCUAACUGCAAUUAAGAAAACAAACCUUAAAAAUCGUUGUUUUUCUCUUUUGUAAUUGAUGAUAAUUCAGUGAAAAUACUGCGCUGCUUCCCUUUGUUUCAUCCCACAUUGCUUUAAGUUUUUCAGUGUCCAGUUAUUUUUUACUGCUGUUUGAAUUCACUGUAUGGACUGCUUGUCUUCCUGUUUGUAACCGCCGCCUGUUUUUGACUAAAGAUUUGGAUUUCUGACUUUAACACAG